AAACUAGGUCCGCCUUGUCUUCAAGCAACAGGUUCAGCAAGUAGCUCCUUCUGAGGUCUAGUAAGCACUGAGGAUCUGAAGUGAAACCUUCCAGAAGGCAUUGCUGUUGGUACUGAGCAGAUCUCAGCAUCUCUUCCUGACUGGUCUGUGCAAACAUUCCUUUUAAAUACUUUGGGUCAUCAUUACUGGAUCUAUUUCAUGCUUCUUGAAUCUACAGCAUGUCAGGCCCUUUCCAGUUUUUAAACCACUCAGAUCCAGGAAGGCUUGCUACUGGGCAAACCAAUGGACCCCAUGAGGCUAAGUCAUCAGAAGCCAGGCAUCUAUCAGCUCACACAUCUCAGAAAAAUAGCCAAGUGCUUACACAGAGCACAUCUGGUUGAAAAAGAAAAGGCAGAGAGAAAAGCAGACUUUUUGGAGAAGUUGUUCUCAGGCACUAACAGAUUCACCCCUUAUAUGCAUAUGAGUGGACAAGAAGAUUCCUUGGAUAUUUUCAUGAUGAAGGAUAAGAGUGAAGCUAUCCUGGCCAAGAACUUUGAGAGAGACAACACUUUUCACUCUGAAGGACCAAAAAAUGAGCAGAAAAUUUGGGAUAAAUGUCAACAACAUUUGAACUAUAAGGAAAAACAAGCAUCUGAGUUAGACAGACCUCCAUAUUCAUUCAACUGGGAAACUAAAACUGUGCAGUCCCAAUAUCAGAAUUUCCUUGGUCAGUUGGCUACUCUUCUGAGUGACAGCAUUGUCUCCAUACCAGCCACAGAGGAGGCUGUGAAAAACAGGAUUCAGAAAAUUGGUGCAAAUGAGAAAUCUUGGAAAUCUAGAACCAAAAGCCUUCAGCAGGAAAUCCAGAUGCUCACUAAACAACUAGAGCAGCUGCAUCAUCUUUAUGAGGAAGUUGCUCAAGAAUCAUCCCAAGCUGAAGAAAAGUGUUGGGAACAAAAAAGACCCUUGAAACGUCAGGAAAGAAAAAUUUCGAUCAAUGACUUUUUUCAAGAGAGAUUAGACUUGUACAGGAAGAAAGACAAAACAAUUGAAAACCUCAGGCAAUCUUUAGCAAAUGUUGAAACAAUGAAAGAGAAGGCAGUUUUGAAAACAGAAAACUUGAAAACUACAUUAGACUCUGCAGAGCAAGAGGCAAGAUCAGACAAAGAGAAGACCCAGCAGAUGUUAGAUGCUGUCACUUCUGAGCCUCCCAGAGCAAAGAGCACACCUGAAGAAAUAUCAGGACAAGAACAAGAGGUUUUUUUAAAAUAAUAAAAUUAAAAUUAAUUUAGUUAAAGUGAUAAACACCACCCCUACUUAGACUGUAACUAACUUAGACAAAAGGGAAUAUUGGCUUAUGGAAUCAAAAAUGAGUUAAACUUUGACUCCAGGAGAGUGGAGUUGUAUCUGGGCUCCAGGAUUAGCACCUGGAACCUACAAGCCUUUUCUCACAGUUUCUUCUUGGCAUCUAUGUGUCAGCUCAUCUGUCUGACUGCCGGUUGGUUUUCUCCGUGACAGGAAACAUGGUCACUGACAACCAUGGAGUUUUAGAUGUAGUUCCUGUGACAGGAGAGAGAAUCCCAAGAAAGGGUCUAAUUGGCCCAGUUUAGGUCAAGUGCUUAUCCCUGCUAAACCCACAGUGGCUAGGGAUGGGAUAUAUGGUUAUUUUAUAUACUCUGACUAACCAGUGACCAGGAGGGUAUAGGUCUAUGAGAUCAUGUGUCAUCAUGUGAAACUCAGAGGAAACCUUGUAUGUUACUUUCUGUGUCACUGUCUAUCAAAAUAGAGUAGAGCUUCUGAACUUGCUUAGAUUUUCACUAUGCUUGUAAAUAUUUUGAGAGAAUUUUGAAAAGGCUAACUGAUCACUUGGGGAAAUUUUAAAGUUAUUAUAUGUCACAUCUCCAUAUAUUAGUUGCUUAGGAAACUUAUACCUUAAGAUAUGCUUAAACAUUAAGUAUAAUAUUAGCAUUUUCUCUUUUUUCUCUCUUUAACUGCUGCAUGUUCACUUUCUUGAUUGUUUCUAUUUCUUUUAUUUUUUGAGACAGUUUCAUUCUGUCGCCCAGUCUGGAGUGCAGUAGCAUGUUCAUGGCUCACUACAGCCUCAAUGUCUUGAGCUAAAGCAGUCCACUCACCUCAGCCUUCCAAAUAGCUGGGGCUACAUGUGUGCCACCACCACACCUGACUAAUUUUUGUGUGUUUUGUAGAGAUAGGGUUUCACCAUGUUGCCCAGGCUGGUCUCAAACUCUUGUGCUCAAGCAAUUCUCCUGCCUUGGCUUCCCAAAGUGCUGGGAUUACAGGUGUGAGCCACAGUGUCCAGCCCCUUAUUUUAUUUUCACCCAAAUCUGUUUUCCUUUGGUUACCUUGUAGUUCACUCUUUACUUUUUAGAUGAUUUUGUGUUUUCUUGCCUGAGUUCGUCUCACAUCUAGAUAUCUUUUUUUCCUUUUCUUUUUUUUUUUAGAGAUGGGGUUUCACCAUGUUGGCUGGGUUGGUCUCAAACUCCUGACCUCAGGCAAGCCGCCCACCUUGGCCUCCCAAAGUGCUGGGAUUAUAGCUGUAACCCACUGCACCCAGCCUUACAUCUAGAUAUCUUGGACAUCUCUUUGUUUAUUUCUAUUCUGAAUUAUUACAUUUCUGAUUCAAAAUAAAGUCCCCCCCCACCAUUUUUGCAAAUCCUUUUAAAAUUUGUAUUUAAUUUUUUUCAGGGUGUUGUGUCAAAUAUGUGUUCUGUGUUUCAUGGCUUUUUUUUUUUUUUUGAGGAUGGAUUUUUGCUGUUAUUGCCCCAGGCCUGGGUGCAGUGGUGCAAUCUCUGCUCACUGCACCAACCACCUUCUGGAUUCAAGCAAUUCUCCUGCCUCAGCCUCCUGAGUAGCUGGGACUACAGGCACCUGCCACUGUGCCCGGCUAACUUUUGUAUUUUUUAGUACAGACGGGAUUUCACCAUGUUGGCCAGGAUGGUCUCGAU
rnacentral:lncRNA from 1 species